rnacentral:rRNA from 1 species
AGUGAACGCUGGCGGUAGGCCUAACACAUGCAAGUCGAACGGCAGCACAGUAAGAGCUUGCUCUUACGGGUGGCGAGUGGCGGACGGGUGAGGAAUACAUCGGAAUCUACUUUUUCGUGGGGGAUAACGUAGGGAAACUUACGCUAAUACCGCAUACGACCUACGGGUGAAAGCAGGGGAUCUUCGGACCUUGCGCGAUUGAAUGAGCCGAUGUCGGAUUAGCUAGUUGGCGGGGUAAAGGCCCACCAAGGCGACGAUCCGUAGCCGGUCUGAGAGGAUGAGCGGCAAGAUUGGGAAUGAGACACGGCCCAGACUCCGAGGGGAGAGAGCGGUGGGGAAUAUUACACAAUGGGCGGAAGCCUGAUGAAGCAACGCCGCGUGAGGGAUGACGGCCUUCGGGUUGUAAACCGCAUUCGCCUGUGACGAAGCGGGAGGGACGGUAAUGGGUAAAGAAGCACCGGCUAACUACGUG